rnacentral:lncRNA from 1 species
GCGGUUGUUGCAUAUAUACUUCUAGUUCUUUCUUUACAGUUGUCUUGCUACUAUAGUUUUGAUAUCCUUGUAUGCUUGCAGUUGUACAUUACAGUAGUGGUAGUUGUGUUUUCAUAUAUAUAUCUCAUUCGUUCAUUAUCGUUGCUACUGUAUUUUACUUACCCAUACUGUUGUUUAUCUCUUCCUGAUCCGGUGAGUACUCCUCGCCUUCUUCGGCUUGCGGUACCCACUGGGAGGGGAGACAUGUUUACAUGUUCUCACCUCCCCCACUAUUUUUCAGGUAUUGCAGACGUUGAGUUUUGGGACGAGCCGUGAGGUACGUUCGUAGCGGUCGAUAGAGCUUCCGACCCAGAUUAUCGGUUUAGUUUUAUCCCUACUAUUCUGUUGUUAUAGCUUAGUCAGUUUAUAUAGUUCAGUAUUUUUAUUACAUUGGAAUAUGUGGACUUUCAUGAAUGUAAUAAAAGAAUUUCUGGAUUUGGUAAAAUAAAAAAUUUCUACCCCUCGUGGUAGCUUUUAUAAAAGAUAAAAGUUUUCGCGUAUGGAACAGUUUUUAAAAGGUUUUUCGUGGACUUUUGUUUAAACAUCGAAUGUAAAACUACGGUGUGAAUGGUAAAUGUAUGAACGUAUAGCUAUCUGUAUAUUCAUUUAGUUGUGGUUGUAUACUGUUUGUACUUUUGUACUUUUGCGACGCCGUGCAAAUACAGGGGAGACUCUGUCCGUGUGAACAGUGGAUUCCCUGUAUUUGUGGCGGAUUUGACAUACUCUGGGGUCAGGUGCUUCAAAAAAAAAAAAAUUUAAUCGUUUCCGCUGUUUUUCCAAACUUAAAAGGGACCCCGGGGCGUGACAUUCCUGUAGCCUGGUUUUUCAGGACUUAGCCGUUUUUCCAGC